UGAGUAGGUCAAUAUGGAAUCAAUCACUCCUAGUAAGAGAAGAUUGCAUCCUAUGUAUUUUCAAUCCUAAAUGACUCAGAAAAAGUCUAUUGGCCAAAAAUAGGAAGAAGAUUAGAAAGAGUUUCUAAUGCUUCUUUAUUAGAGUCAUCAUUGGUUAAUUAAAAAUCGAUAUGAAUAUGUGUUUGAAUUUGACAUGAUUCCA
rnacentral:lncRNA from 1 species